ACGUAUUUAUAUUUGAGGGGAAAUCAUCUGUCACUGUUCUUCGAUAUCGAGCAGGUUUUUUUCGGAAAACAAUGGUUGGCGGCAAAUUCAAAGGUGUUAAAUCAUUUCUCUUUCCCUCCCUGUCUCGCCCCUUCCUUUACGACCCCUGCUGCUUCUCCUUCCCAUUCAUCUAAUCUUUCCCCUUCGUUCCCCUCCUUUCCUUUCAUCGAGUUUGAGGGGAUGUUGAACACGCUGAAAGAAGGCGCCACCGGUCCGAGGAGAGCGCCGUGGCACGCAUAUUCACGCGCCCGGCAAACAUAAACACUAUACAUUUCACGAAUCCGACUGCGCGUUAUCGUAUAACCACGACGUCGAGACGUAACCCGCGAAAACGACAACUACGACGGCAAUAACGACACAAUGUCGAGGACGAAUUACGGAUGAUAAUAUCGAAACGAAUCGAAGCGUGUAACGAGCAACACGAGAACGAGCCGUAUCACGACGAACGAUCCGUAUCGAAACCGUAUAAGAAGCAUCAACAUAACAAACACUCGCGCGGAGCAGGGCAACAGAAACACAAGAUCGUCAGAAAAAUCUAAGAAAAAACCAAACUGUCCAUUCCAUCGAAUCAAGAUGCCUCUACCAAUCAUCGACGAGGAUCGAUCGAAGAAAUCUUUGCACGCCGCUAUCUCUCAAAUAGAAGUAAUCAAUUGCGA
rnacentral:misc_RNA from 1 species